GAUAGCGAAGGCAGCUUGCUGAACCAUUAUUGACGCUGAGGCACGAAAGCGUGGGGAGCNNNCAGGAUUAGAUACCCUGGUAGUCCACGCCCUAAACGUUGAUUACUCGUUGUUGGCGAUAUACUGUCAGCGACUAAGCUAAAGCGUUAAGUAAUCCACCUGGGAAGUACGACCGCAAGGUUGAAACUCAAAGGAAUUGACGGGGGCCCGCACAAGCGGAGGAGCAUGUGGUUUAAUUCGAUGAUACGCGAGGAACCUUACCUGGGCUUGAAAGUUAGUGACCGCCUCUGAAAGGAGGCUUCUCUUCGGAGCACAAAACUAGGUGCUGCAUGGCUGUCGUCAGCUCGUGCCGUGAGGUGUUGGGUUAAGUCCCGCAACGAGCGCAACCCCUUUCUUUAGUUGCCAUCAGGUUAUGCUGGGGACUCUAAAGAUACUGCCUAUGUAAAUAGUGAGGAAGGUGGGGACGACGUCAAGUCAUCAUGGCCCUUACGUCCAGGGCUACACACGUGCUACAAUGGCAGUCACAAAUGGAUGCUACUUAGUAAUAAGAUGCUAAUCCCAAAAAGAUUGUCUCAGUUCGGAUUGAAGUCUGCAACUCGACUUCAUGAAGCUGGAUUCGCUAGUAAUCGCAUAUCAGCAAUGAUGCGGUGAAUACGUUCCCGGGCCUUGUACACACCGCCCGUCAAGCCAUGGAAGAUGGGAGUACCUAAAGUCGAUAACC
rnacentral:rRNA from 1 species